CACCAGAUGAACACAUCAAAACAUGUUGGAAAAAUGCAUCAUCACUGUUAGAUAACAUCCAACUAUCUGGAAUGUGAUUUCUCUGUCAGUGUGCCAUAUUUCGUUCAACCCGUUUCGUCACUUCUUGUAUUUCCCAGAAUAAACGUGACCAAUCUCCCAGGACGUGGGUAGACUUGUACCAUUCAGCCCUGGGCAACGUGUGUAGGUGGAGAAAAUUGUGGUGAUGGCGAAACAGUAGCAGAGUGAAAGUCAGACCGUGAAAGUGUUUCUGUGAAGACAAUGCAGUCUAGUAACAGACUGCUGUUUCUCCUGCAAAGCAGUGUGACAGUUUGGCCAAUCCAUUCCGACUUCUCACCUAAUGCAUGCUGGGAUAGAGGCCUCCUACCACUCUGAACAGGAUAAACAUGAAUGUAAGAUUGAUGUUUUUCUCCCUAUAUGUGAAAAAGGGGCCUACAUUUUCUAUUGGCUGUGGAGCUGCAACAUAAAUGUCUUUACACGUCCAAAAUUACGACCCACAACCCUAACCGACCCAAGCAUUAGUUAAAUAUAUGUAUGCUCUACUGUUCUUGCACAAGAUAUUACAGACCCGAUCCAGAGAGUGUCCGAGAGGAGAGGGACCCGAGACGUGGGACAGGUAACCUACCUGACAAACCUGCUACUUAAAACUGCCACUAAAAAUGCCACUCUACUGCAAAGAACAUUUAUCAUGUCAGAUACAACAGACUGUUCUCACACAUCUUAAUGUAUAUAAUGUUUAAUAAUGUUUGAGAAGUCUAUUUUUAUUUUAUUCUAUUGUCACCUAUUUUGCUGUUGUGAUGUGAGCUGCUUUAAUGAUUUGAUUUCCCCAGCUUACUAUCCAUCUUUCCCCAGCUUAGCCUCCAGCUCCCUGGUGCUGCAGCUCAACAUGCUUUCACCUUAUUUCUGUAUUUGUGAUCUGACCAUAUGUCAGCACAGUCAGUCAUCACACAAGUUACACACUCAGCACUUUUGUGUGUGUUGGAUCUCGGAUCCCAGAUACCAGUUAGACUAAUGAAGACUUCUACUGCAACAAAUAAUGAUUGAUUAACUGAUGAGUUGUCAACUAUUACAUUCAUUGGUAACCAACGUGAUAAUUGAUAAGUCAGUUUGAGUAGUUUUUGAAGGGAAAAAAAGUCAUAAUUGUCUGAUUCCAGCUUCUUCAAUCUGAAUAUUUUCUGGUUUCUUUACUCCUACUUUAACAGUAAACUGAAUAUCUUUGGGUUUUGGUCAAAACAAGACAUUUGAGAACAUUGUUUUAGGCUUUGAGAAACACUGAUCAACAUUUGUCACCAUUUUCUAACAUUUUAUGACCAAACAAAUAAUCAAUUAAUCGAGGAAAAAAGACAGAUUAAAGGUCCAGUGUGUAGGAUUUGGGGGGGUAUAUAGGCAGAAAUGGAAUAUAAUAUAAUAAGUAUGUUUUCUUUAGUGUGUAAUCACCUGAAAGUAAGAGUUGUCAUGUUUUUGUAACCUUAGAAUGAGCUGUUUAUGUCUACAUUGGGAGCAGGUCCUCAUCCACGGAGAUCUCAAUGUUGCAUCCCCAUGUUUCUACAGUAACCCAGAAUGGACAAAACAAACGCUGGCUCUCGAUAGGGCCAUUCACCAACAUUCACCAACAUUCAGUGUUUUAACCGGUUUUAAUCACCAGGUCCAUUGGUUUUGGAGAGAGAUCUCGGCAGUAAAAAUCUCCUGAACAAUAAACACUAAAGGAAUUCUAACCAGGAGAAGUACAGCUAGAUGCCAAUAAACCCCCCUAAAUCUGACACGCUGGACUUUUAAUUGACAAUGAAAAUAAUUAUUAGUUGCAGCCCUAAGUGGUUGUAUUCCUGCCAGAGGAAGAAAUAAAAAGACAUCAAUGCUAAAAUUAAUCAGCAUAGUUUUGAUGCUUUUUGGAUAUGUACAGAACACAAAACAUAAACUAUAGCUGCCACUGUUAAAAAAAUCUUGAAUAUUUCUUAUUCUUUUCUAAAAUAGACAGAAAAUCCACACAAAUGAGGGAAAGGGUUGUGAUCAUGACAAAUGUGUGACCUCUGUGCUCAGUGUUCUUGAGGCAGAGCUGAGCUGUUAUCUCUCUGUGGGCUGAGACACAGUGUUCUCUCUAAAGGACAAAGUGGCUUUUUUGUUUGGACAAAACAACCAAGACACCACACAUGGUAUUUACAGUCAAAGCUGAAGCAAAGCAUGCGAAAAGCAAAAUAUCCUGUUUUUGCCCUCAUUCAGAAAAAUACAAUAUUCCUGCUGAUCUGUUUACAUGACUAAUGAAAAGGAAUAUUCCACUAAUACCACUGUUUACAUGCAGCUGUGCAAACUCACAUUAACACUGACAUUGUUUAUCACUUCAAGAUAUUGAAAAGUUGGAGUCGUUUUUGCGAUUUUGCUUCUUUGCUUGUUUUCCACCAGUGGCCAUGUAUCUCUACUCCACAGCCUUGCGACCUGUUGGCUUGUGAACAACCAAUGCAAGAGGCCGAGUGUCGCAAUAAAAACCCUAAACGCAUAUUCUGAAUGUGCUGUAUACAUGUCCAAACACUAUUAAAACCCAACUAAUAGGUAGGUAGGUAGGUAGGUAGGUACAUAGGGAGGUAAGUAGGUAGGUCAGUAGGUAGAUAGGUACAUAAGGAAGUAGAUAGGUAGGUAGGUGAGUAGGUAGGUACAUAGGGAGGGAGGUAGGUAGGUAGGUACAUAGGGAGGUAAGUAGGUAGGUCAGUAGGUAGAUAGGUACAUAAGGAAGUAGGUAGGUAGGUAGGUAGGUAGGUAGGUGAGUAGGCUGGUACAUAGGGAGGUAGGUAGGUAGGUAAGUAGGUAGGUAGGUACAUAGGGAGGUAGGUAGGUAGGUAAGUACAUAGGGAGGGAGGGAGGUAGGGAGGGAGGGAGGUAGGUAGGUAUAUAGGUACACAGGUAUGUGUAUAGGGAGGUAGGUAGGUACAUAGGGAGGUAGGUAGAUAGGUAAGUAGGUAGGUAGGUACAUAGGGAGGUAGGUAGGUACAUAGGGAGGUAAGUAGGUAGGUCAGUAGGUAGAUAGGUACAUAAGGAAGUAGGAAGUUAGGUAGGUAAGUAGGUAGGUCAGUAGUCAGAUAGGUACAUAAGGAAGUAGGAAGUUAGGUAGGUAAGUAGGUAGGUAGGUACAUAGGGAGGGAGGGAGGUAUGUAGGUACAUAGGGAGGUAAGUAGGUAGGUCAGUAGGUAGAUAGGUACAUAAGGAAGUAGGUAGGUAGGUAGGUAAGUAGGUAGGUAGGUACAUAGGGAGGUAAGUAGGUAGAUAGGUACAUAAGGAAGUAGGUAGGUAGGUAUGUCGGUAUAGGUCAUUGGUUGGAGAUGGAUGGAUGGAUGGAUGGAUGGAUGGAUAACUAUUGCGUACAGCAGUGGAAAUUUGAAAAGGUCUCACUUGGAAUAUCCAAACAGAAUAUUCUGUUUACAUGAACUGUAUCAAAUUUAGAAUAUUGUCAGAAUAAUACUGGGAUAUUAGUGAGCAUGUAAACACAGUCAAUUUUUGAACCUACAUAAACUUUAAAGCGACAUACUCCAGUCGUGUGUACUGAAACUUUGAUUUACCUUGCAAACAGAAAAGUUUCCUUUAGUGACAGUAAAUGUGCUUUUAUGUGUUUAAUUUUUAUUUUGUAGCCACAAUUUCAGGCAUUACGCUGAAAAUCUGGCAUUUUGUUUAUCCCUGUUUUUACUCAUAUUUACAAAACAUUAACACACAAAUGCACAUAUCUCUUUCAACAACUGUGUCUCUAUCUAUCUUAAAACAAUGAUUUUACAUCUAAACUUAAUAAACACAAUUUCACUCUAAACCAGCCACUUCGCUGACUGUCAAACAUUCCUUAUAUGCCAAAGUUAUUAUCAGGUGAAAGGAAGGACAAGGACAAAUGGGGAUGCAUGUAAACACAGAUAAAGAGGACACGAGGUUGGACGGAGGAAAUGAGGAGUGUUCUGAGCAAGCAAACAGCAAGUUGUAAACGCGUGCACGGAGGCACGGAUGGAAAAAAAGAGACUCGGCCGCACUGUCACAUAAAACAGAUACUCAGAGAUACACAGAAAGUUUUGGGUUUGUUGUUACAGCUUGACCCCAGUUGAAAAGAAGGUGGAGGGAACAGGAUCCUGCUGAGAUAAGGGCUGAGGCCACCGGAGCCUUCACAGUCAAACUGUUACUCACUGAGGAGAAAACAAACUGCUGCCGAGUUCAUAUAAUGUAGAUUUAGACAGGAUCCGUGUUUAAGUUUUAAUAUCUUUGACUACGUGUGCGAUUAAAGUCUCAGUUCACCCAAUUUCCGAAAACAAUUUUCCCAUUUAUCUGCAGUGUAGUGGCAUCAAGUAACACAGAUUAUUUUGGUUUAAUUAACCUUGGAUUUAGGAUGAAUUUUUGCUUUCGACCCCAAAGGAUAAAACAAUGUCCCAGUCGCUCUGGAUAAUCCACAAACAUCAAACAGUUUUCAGUGGAACAACUUCUUUGGUCGAAAGCGGUUCCAGUAAAAAACUGAUCCAGAGCGAGGUCUGUGGAUUAUCUAGAGGAACCAGGUCACUGUCCCUGGAAAGACACGUCACUGUCGAACGUUUUACAUGGAAAAUUUCAAUCUUAUUUGCAGCUGAACUUAUCCUUUAGCCUCGCCACUAACCAUCUGACUGUGUCCACAUGUUCCUGAAAAACAAGUUAGUGAGAGAAAUCACGUUACGGCAGGAAAUCCUUGUAAAUCCUCAACGUGCAUUCAGAAUACAUUUACCCAAAAUAACAAUUUUCAAUCAAGACUGUGACACGUGCAAUGAUGCCAUUUUAGUGUUUUCUGAUUUGUAUGUUUUGUUUGGAGUAUUUUAAGCCCAGUUCAGACCACAGAUUUAUGAAGAGACGAGUUGAAACAGGCAGCUACUUGCAAUGUGCCGUUCUGCAACAUUCUAAAAACCUGCCGGUUCACACCAAUGCAACUAGAUGAGAUGGUGUAUCAUCUCUAUGCUACAAUUAUCCGUACUUGCGUUCUGCUUUUCAGCUUUUCAGGCUGAUUUUGUGGAUGAAUAUAAUUUGUAGCUUCUUAGAAUAUGAAUGAGUAUAGUGAUAGUGAGAUACUGGCUACAGCUGCAUUUGUAGUAGUGGUGAAACGGUGAAAACCUAAAAAAAACGAGCAUCAGAUGGACUGUAUUCAUAAUAAAUACACCACAAUAAUAUAAGUAAGCAGCGCCAAUUAGUUAGUCUAUGAGAAUGUGUGUGUGUGUGAGGGGGCGUAAGCACAUACAGCGAGCAGCAGCGACUCACCACCCGACACUGGCACACCGUGAGGACAGAAACAGAGGGCUUGGCGGAGACGGAGCAUCUGCGACAGUAGGCCAACACGCCGCCCGUGGUCAUUUUGACUUGACCACAAGCUUCACUACAUGCCGAUUGGCCGUUGAAACCAGUGACCAGCCUUACAUUCUAAGACCAGCUGUCAGCAAUUUGACCAAUUGAAUUGCAGGUGACACCAUCAGCCAGCUUGAGUCGAGCUCAGACGGCCAGUUCACACCGCUGCAACUUUUCAGGUUUUGUCAGAAAUCAAGUUUGUCAAGCAGACAUCUAGCUUUUUCUUCUUUUUUUUUUUUUUUUUUAGCAGAUUUAUCUUUUAAAUCUCUUAUCCUAACUAUUAAAACCAGGUUUCUCCUUUAAUUUUCCUCCUUUUAUUGAUUUAACUGCACUGUAACUGUUAUUCUUGUAUUUUAUGCCCAUCUCGGUGUAAUUUAACUAUUUAUUUAUUUUUAUUCUGUAGUUCUUUAAAGCUAUAGUGCGUAACUUCUACAGGUCCGUAAAUGUCCGUUUCACCCAAACCACUACUAGAGGAGAUGACACAAUGCUGAUUAAGCCGAUCGGCUCCUCUAAUAUCUCGCAGUAUUUUUCUAUAUAUAUCAUUUUUAGUUUGCGUGUCAACCGGCGACAUUCCCGCGCUGGCGCACAGGAAAUGCUUCCUCACAACAAGAAGGGAGGGGGAGGAAGAGUGGCGAGUGUCAUAGCAAGAGGUAGAGUGCAGGUAGAAAGAGAAAGCAACAUGGCGGAGAAGCGGCCGAGACACGGUUCAGAAGUGGAUCCUACCACAAAGAAAAAGCCUGGACGUUCGGCUGAAGGUCUGUUAGCAAAGAAGGAAAGUGACCGACGGAGAAGGCAAACAAGGAUUUGUAUUGGCAUCGCUUUUCCUCGGUGGAGAGCCCUGAAGGAAGAAAUUGGGCUGAGGGCAGACACGGAUGUUGCCUUGCUGCUGUUGGAUAAGUAAGUGACUUGGUUUAUAAUUAUAUUAUGAGUAGUAUGUGUUGCUGUUACAUGUACUGGACCUAGUACUUUAUUAUUUUCUUGGAAAUGGUGCUAUGAACGUAAUGUAAUGUUAGCAGCCUGGUGUUCGCCACGUUGUGUAGCAUUGUGUACACAGUGUGAAGCGAGUGUUACUGUGUGUACACGGUGAGUGGCGACUGGCGAGUGUUACUCUGUGUACAUGGAAGUGCCGUCGGCGACAGAAGUUACGCACUAUAGCUUUAAAUGAAUUGCUUGUAAAUUACCUUUUAUAAUGUGUUUCUUAUGCACCUUGUGUAGAUGCUUUUGAUGUUUUAUGUAGAGCACUGCUGAAAUGUGCUGUAUAAAUAAACUUGUCUUGCCUUAAAUAAAGUUUAAGAACCCAGGUUGCUACAUUAAAGCCAACAUGAAGCACCGAUGAGUCAUUUUAAGUUCUUUUACUAAGGUCUUAUCAUACUGAAGGGAAAAUCCUGCUCCUCUGUCGUUGCCAAUUUCCAUUUUUCUGCAUUCAGUGAAAACAGAGCUGAGUGUCACACACAAGAACGAGAGGUCAAGUGAGAGCUCUCUAAAUCAAACUGUUUGGCUUUGAGCCAUUUCCUCUGCCGCACACACUGGCCUUCUAAAAGGCCAAAUACAUGCAGAAGGACAAUGACAAAACAGCGACUUAGAUACUUGUAUGCAGUUCACAAAUGUGUUAAAACACAUUAUCAGGAUGAGAAUUUGCCCCAGGACUUUUUAUCUGCUUAAUCCCACCUCUGUGUUUAAAUCUCUCUGUGUCAUGCUGGAUUAUAGAGUGUACAUUUUA